GUUUCUUUUGAUGUGCAUUUGAUAUUCUUAUUAAACAUGUUAUAAAAAUAAGAUUUAUUAUUGCUGACUGGUUUAUUAACGUUUAUUGAAAUGUCCGAAACCUUGUGUUGGCCUUUAAUUCGAGCGAUGAAUUGCCUAUCUUUAUCAGUUCUUUCUAUGUAAUAUUGCAUCUUACUAGGUAACCAAGAUGGCGAACGCUGAAAUCCUGUAUUGUAAACAUAAUUCCUUAAAGGUCCAUUUCCUCCUAAAAUAAUCAGUGGAUUGAGCAUGCGUAGCAACACGGAAAGCACCCACAAUGCACGGUUGAUGUGAACCGGUG
rnacentral:lncRNA from 1 species